rnacentral:lncRNA from 13 species
ACGGAAUCGCUAUUAUUUUCAAUUUUAGAACACAUUCAAGUAUCUCCAGAAGCUAACCAGCUAAUUAGCUACAAGCUAUUUAGUCAUUGUUAGCCACUGCUAGCGGCUUUUACCUUCUGCACAGAUACCAGCCCUGUUCUUAGCCUGGAUAAUACUCGCUAGUCUACCAUUAUCGGACUNNNNNNNNNNGUAGAGGACAGUAUUACAUGGUGAGGAUGAGGAGGGUUAGAGGUAGAGGACAGUAUUAUAUGGUGAGGAUGAGGAGGGUUAGAGGAGGACAGUAUUACAUGGUGAGGAUGAGGAGGGUUAGAGGUAGAGGACAGUAUUACAUGGUGAGGAUGAGGAGGGUUAGAGGUAGAGGACAGUAUUACAUGGUGAGGAUGAGGAGGGUUAGAGGUAGAGGACAGCAUUACAUGGUGAGGAUGAAGAGGGUUAGAGGUAGAGGACAGCAUUACAUGGUGAGGAUGAAGAGGGUUAGAGGUAGAGGACAGCAUUAUAUGGUGA